rnacentral:sRNA from 1 species
UAUCGGUAACGUAGUGUCGGUGUGAGU